UGCAGUUUACCAUUAACCACAAUCAGUUAAUAGUCAAGACUCUGGCACCAUAUGGUCCCAAGUUGUCUGAUUAAAAAUACACCCUUUAAUGUGAUUUCUUAAGUCUCUGCUCCCUCACAGCCCCUGAAGCAGGUGCUGCAGUGCGGUUUAUGCUCCUGGAGUGAGGACACAGCCCUGUCUGGGGAGCGGCUUUGCGUCUGCUUGGCUGGGCCAUUGGCGAGCUCUGCCCUUCAGUGCUGGCAGCCACCUGAGCCCUGGUGUCCUGACGUCACCUGGAAGGACACAGCCCACAGGCUGAUGGUAAAGGUGGAGGGAGGUGAUUCUCAUGCAGGACUAGCAUGGUGCUUCCUGUGCCUGUGCCCAAGGAGGGCACAUGUUGCUGUAAAAAAGAGAAACUGGAUAUUUGCCUGGGAAGUUUUCGAGACUCUGCCAGGAAGAAGAAAAAAGGAGCAGGAGAAGAAGGAAGAGGGGCAAGGAAAAGCACAAAUCUCGGGGGUCAAAAAUGAGUAAGAACAAAAAUGGCUUUGGCGAGCUUUCGCAACAAUCACGGUGCACCAGCCAGUUUUCUCAAACCCAGUGAACUUUCUAAUGGCAUUAGGAGAAGUUCACUGAGCUUGGCGUUGGGAGAAUUUAUAGUAUUCUUGGAAAGGGUUUUCAAACAUUCUAGUUUGAAAAGAAAUAAAAUCAACAAUCUUAUUUGCUCUGUACUAUUUGCCUUUCUGUCCUACUUAUUCAUGCAGUCUUAAUUUAUAAAAACAAAUGGAAACUGCACUCCUUGGGUCUCCAGAAAUACUGGGCCUUUUGCUGUGCUUACUUUCAGCUUCACAGCAACCUUGAGGGAGACAUGGUUACUUCCAAUCACAAAGGGAGCAACCAAGUCUGGAGCCAUCUGGAGUCUUCCCGCAAGCAACCACAGCUUGUUGGAAGGGCAGGUUUUGAACCCAGGUCCCCAUGACCACAGGGCAGUCCAGAAGUUCUUGGAGUCUUGGAAUAGGCACCAAAUCCCCCCGGUGAGAACUCCGAGUAGAAGGCUGGUGUCUGAACAUUGAGCCAGUGCCCACAAGGCCAGUGUGUCUGGGCUAACGCUUCCCAGCCCGGGGCCACCGUGUCCUCCGUGAGGCCAGCAGAGCAGCCUCCACAGACCGCCCACCGCACACCCAAGGACAGAGACGUGCCCUGGUCACAGGUCCACGACAUCGCCUGUCCCAGUUUGGCUGUUGCUUCCUCUUGCCAGGCAAGCCCUCUGGCUCUUCUGGCCAGGGUUAUUUAUAGCCCUGUUGUAUUUGGUUUGCCAUGGACGCCCUCCAACUCCCGUCCAGUGUCAGACAACCCGGGUGCGGAAGCCAGGUGAGCACUCGAAGGCGGGGAAGGCAGAGGAAUCUCCAGCAGAGGUUUCCGUGGUGAGGAGGAAGCCAGGCUGCCAGCCCUCCGGCCAGAGGAGAGCCCCACCCCUCCCCUCCCGGAGCUCUCCCUCCGGGGCUUCCCACCAUGCUGCUUCCCACACAGGUGGGAGCCCAGAGGCAGGUUUGGGGGACCAGGGGACAGCAGAGGUGCCGGGUUGUGGGCAGAAGUGAGGGCGUGCUGCUCCCUGGGCAGCUGUGUGGAUCUGGGUGGCAGAGGCUGGGAGGAGGAUGGGAACAGGGUCAGGGAAGUCCAACAGCUCCGUCCCCACGCUCUGGCCUGGAGAAGUGUUUUGCGGGUAAAUGGAGUUGAGAAGGAUAAACUAAUAAAUGAAGAUGAACGAGUGAGCUGUGUGGAUGAAUGAACCCCGGCGGGUUCUGUCUGCAAGUAGUCCGGGGUUAGAUUGUCAACUACUUUGUAUGUACCUGUGCUUGCAAGCUGCUUUAAGAAAAAUAACAAUGUGUUUUCUUUCCCCGACGAUGUUUCAUGGUUCAAAAGCAUUUCCACAUGUACUGUAUCAUUUGCUGAAAACACAUGUGAUGAACAGGAUUUGUUCUCCCAGCUUUAUGUACAGACUAAGAAAUCCAGGACAGGACGAUGAAGUGAGGGUCCCACCGUGGGUGAGUGAAGCAGGAUUUGACUUCCUUCUGUCUCUGUGGUGUUCAACUUUUACUUGAAUGGAUCUCAUAGUCACACGAUUCAAAAUUCAAAAUUGUCACAGCGUUAAGAAGACCUACCUCUGCCCCAUCCACUCUGGCCACCCUUCUUCCAUGAGCAAAAGACAUCAGGCUGUGCACCCUGCUUCAUAGUUUUAUAUGUUUUGCAGUUUGCUUUGGGUUUUUUAAAACUUUUUUAGUUUUAAGCUUUUAAUAGUCCCCAAAACCAAAUAAAAUCAGUGUUUCAGCCAGAGCACCAUCACUCGAUAAGACUUUUGAGAAUACCCACGCCUGUCCCCUCCCUGUAGUCCUACAAGUUUUCCAUCACAAUGACCGCGUGACAGCAUCCGCCUGCGAAGUGAAGGACAGGAGAUGUGCAGAAAGCCGCCUCUCUCGCGUCAGUGUGCGCACACCAGACACGGGCAGCGUCCCGGCAGUCCCGCGUGGAAGUGCAUGACGCUGUGCUCUAAACGCAGAGAGCUCAUCAGUGCGGGGGAGCCUCCUCCCGCUGUCCACGGCUGCGCGGCCCUGCCUGCGUGUGCGUCCCUCAGCACGCGCUCCCACUUCGCCUGCGAAGGGAGCUGAGGCCCUUCCCAUGCAGACGAGGGCCGUGGGCAGCCGUGAGCACACUGCAGCUGCUUCUGUCCGAUGAUUCUACAAAGCAAAACCCGGGCCAAAGGAUAAAAACACUUACAAUUAAAUCAAAUUUCCACGUCUCCACAUAAGAGUUCGUUUUACUUUAAUCUGUUACAUAUGUAGAACUGUUGGUUUCCCAGUAGAUUCGCCAACAAAUUUCUAUUGUUAAAUUGAAUUUUUGCCAAUAUGAUUGUUUAGACUGAUUGUUUAGUAUAGUUUUACUUUGGAUUUUUCUUCCAUACUAUAAAUUGGAAUUUUUUGGUCAUUUAUCUUUUGAUUUUUGCUCAUAAAGUUCUUUUUUAUUUGAUAUUUGGACUUUUUACAUUUUGGGUUGCCAAGAAAUUUAAAACAUAUUUUAAAUGCUAAGUUGGAAAGGUCUUCCUUAAUGUAAAGAUAUAAAGGAAUUAAUUCAUAUUUUCUUCUAGUAAUUUAUUUUCGUGUGAUGUACCUUCAAUUGCUUUGGAGUUUAUCUUGGUAUCAAGGGUAAGGUAGAGCCAACUUCAUCUUUCUCCAGGACAACCCCAUGGUACUAACAAUAUUUAUGCAUCUUUAUUUUUACCUUUUGGUUUGUUGUCAAGCAGGCUGGCCUGGAACCUGCUUCUUCUUGUCUCAGGUUCCUGUAGCAGGAUUACAGACAUGCAUCUCCAUGAGGGCCGAUGCUAUUUAUUUUUAAAUAUUUUUUGCCCUGAUUUCAGUGCUUAUGCACUGAUUUGUCUCAGUACUGGGGAAUUUUUUGAAACCAGAUUUUCCGAUACAGCAAGUCUAAUUGUAUUUCUUUACCAUCCUUUUCCAGCUGAAAUAACAUUUGUCUUAUUAAUCAGGACCUUUUUAUGUCACAUUUGCAUAGAAGAAUUGGGAAGGAGAUGCCUUUAUCUUCCACAUAAAGGAAGUAAUAUUAAGGAAAUCUAUUUAUAAGCCUGGAAGAAAAAUAAUUCUCCAGAUAUUAUUGCUAGAAAAUCUGAGACAACAGCAUUUUCCUUCAUUUAUAAAGAUGUUGCCAAGUGACUUCCUGCCACAUGGGAGGCAUUCUCCUCAAAGUGGUCCGGGGGUCAGGGGACCCCACCAUCCCUGAAGGGGAGACGAACCCGAACCCUAGAGCACACAAACCUAUGGAGCACAAGCCUCCUGCUGCUGCACACGGCCCACUCGAGCGGGCGACUGCAAAGCCUUCACCUCAAAAAAGAAAAAUAACCAACGUUUCCAACGUUUUAUCAACCAAGCGAAAGGCUUCUGCGGGCAUACGUGUCUACAGUUUCACCGGCGUUCUGGCAGCCAGCCGCACUUCCCAGGGUAAAGCUUGCUUAUUUGUGCAGGAGAGCUUGGAACAGCGUUAGCGAGUUCAAAGGUUCCGCAGAAGGAGCUCUGCUGGCCAGGCAGGCAGGAAAACAAGGGCAGAGCCAGCACCCUCCAGGGGUCACCGUGCGCGGGUUCGGGCGCUCCCGCCGGGCCGGACUCACCCCUCCUCCCUGUUCCCGCGCUGCCUUCUCCUCCUGUGACUCCGUCCUCCGCCUCUGGUGUCCGGCAGUCUCUGCUGAGGCCACGGCCUCGCCUCUCGGCCCCCUGCGCUGUCAGCUUCAGAAGCACCGCUGCCCUCCAGCCCUGGGACCCCGGGACACACACUCCCCGCUCCCGAGUACCGGCCCCUCCCGAUCCAGCCUCCGCUCAGGCCCCUCGGACUCCUUCGGUUUCCCAUUUCCCUGGCCCUUAGCACUGGCCCUCUGGCCACUUGCUGGUGUCUCUCUCCGCUGGCCGCCCUGUGCCUGGGAGCUUGCCCCCUGCUCAGUGGCCUCCAGGACCACCUCUGCCCUCCGUCUCGGAGGACUCACCGGCCAGGAGCCGAGCUUCCGGCCUCUGCCCCCUCCGCCCCCCCAGCCUGGUGUUCAUCUCAGGUGAGAAAGCCAGCACGCGCCUGAUGAUGAGGCCAACGUCUCUCUUCUCCACGCUGCAAGGACAGAACACCCGCACCGUGACGUCGAGAGUCCAUGGCAGGCCCCUGGCCACAGCCACAGCUCACUCUGGGCUUCUGUCCUCUUCCCUGUGAAGCAGGUGCAGCUACCCCCUGAGACUGAAGUGGACGGUGUCCUUCCUGUGUCAGGAUCAGCGGUGGGACCCAUCUCCGAGUGACAGCCAGGGCUUGAGGAAGGAAUGUAAGUUCUCCACAGGGAAUGCAGCUCUUGAGAAGAAAUGGGUUUACUACUCCCCGUCCAUCUUCCAAAUGCAAGACUAGAAAGGGUUUGCUCUUCAGCCACUAAACAAAUUCACGCUCUUCCCAUUGCCAGAAGUAAGAGAGGAGCAAUGGACUUCUCCGGUCAAUCAACGAGCCGAACCUUGCUGCAAAGUGUUGCCUGCAUAUCCGACCUCAGGUGGGAAGGAAGCCAUCCUCCUCUGGGGCGUGAUGUAAAUGAUCAGCAACACCAUUCUUUCGGGAGGGCUGCUGGUGUGCUGAGAGCGCAGCUCUGUUUUCCACAGUACCAAGAGGUGUUUCCCAAAGUGGGGGCCGCUUUCCACGGGACACGAGAUGGUGCUGCGUUGGGCCGGACAAUGUGGGUUGAACACCUGCAUUUAUUUUAACACCUAUUAGGACAACACCAGUGCUUAGUUUUCCAGAUGCCACUGUUUAGGGUAAACCGAGUUAAGUACAAGACUCCAAUCUGGGGCCAAGCAAACUAGGGACAUGGUGGCACAGGUGGUUCGGUGGGUGUGGAAGGAGCCCGGAUGCAGAUGAAGCAUCUUCAAAGGAUGUGGCUCAGCCCUCUGCAGCUAAAAACCACCCAGCCGUGUAUGCCACAGGUAGAGGGGACUUCGGACCACGGAGCCCAGCAUGGCAAUGACAAUCUUUGCUAAGUUUUCAGUCUUUCGUGGUUGUCAUUGGUAGUAUUCUAUUAAUUGCCGAGGUUGUUCCUUUAAAGAUUUACACCAACAAUAGAAGGAAGAUCAAGAGGGAACAGCUAAGUCAUGGACUCAACAGCAAGUGUCAACCUUUCACACGUAAUGAAUUCUGUUUAAGGCUACCAUCAAGACCGGUCCCUGUCAGCUAAGGUAGGAACUAAGAAACUAAUGAGAGCAAUCAGAUUUUUAAAUGCUUUACGUACCACUGGAAUUUAUGUCUUAAUUUAAUUGCCGAAUUCUUAAUCUGAUUAGAGCCUGUAAAGGAAUAAAAUUGGAUUUGGAAAAAAUAGAUAAAAUAAGUUUUCCUUUACAUAUUCACAAGUCAUCCCAAACUGCAUGUUUCUUAUAAGAUUAAUACAAAUGUUUUAGCUCAUUUUCAUUGCAUCCGAGCAAACACAUUAUCUCCCAGGAAACAGCAUGGAACGAUAAUAUGCCACACAUCCAGCCAUAGAAGAAGUUCUUGAAUAUAAAGUCAUCUGGCUAAACUGCCUGGAAAUGAGCGGGGUCACAGUCACGGAGAUGAAGCUAAAUGACAUCGCGUUUCUCCCAUGGCUCCCAGGACAUGAGAUUCUCACUACCAGUGGGACCGGCUUAUGAGUCUCUGUCCACUAGAUGUUUCUCUGGCUUCUGCAGAGUGUUCCCAAAUCAUUUCAUUCACUCACCAAAUAUUUAUUCAGUGCCUACUGUGUGCCAGGCACUCACUGUUCCAGGUGCAGGGGCACCGAGGCCGAGCGAAGAACAUUAAAGUCUCUCUGAGAUGCAGCUCCUAGUAGACAUGGCCAACUUCCCAUUGUAAACUGUGCUUCUUCAAUGUGUGAUUUUUAAAAAGAGGCUCAAAAAUGGUCUUACACAUUUAAGAGGAUGAUAUGACAAGGAAUAGGGUUAGAAAGGGGAGGUCAUAAAAUUCAGUUAGACAAGGUGAAAAGCAAGACCACAUUGGAGCACAAGAAGCAACACACAUGCAGAGACCGAGCAGAGGCCUGGAGCCACACCAGCCCCGCUCAGGGCUUCAUGUCCACUAGCUCCCUCAUCUUCCCGGCACCCGGAGAGCUGGAACCCUCCUACUACCUGCAUUCUACAGAAGCGGAGACUGAGCUCGGAGUAACUGCCUUGUCUCACACCGUCCCACACAUGGCAGCCAAGAAGAGAGCUGACCAAGGAAGUGAAGACGAAGCAGCCUGGGCCCACUGACCUGGUGGGAAGCGGGAGAGAGACAAACUGUGGCGAGCUGGAAACGCUCGGGAUCUUACUUCAGGGGCCGUUUUAAGUGGACUGCACGCAUGGUCCUUCUGUCCCCAGAGUCGAGGAUGCCACAAGCCUCUGACUCUAACACCAAGACCCGGAACCCACCACAUGAUAGAUCCAGCUGUUCCCUGAAGCAGCUAUUGAGUUUUUAGCGAUAUCUAAAAUACAAGCUCUUCUGAAGUUGGGAAAGUUAAGGCAGAGCCUUCGCAUUUUUCUCUCAUCUAGGAAGCCAGAUCUCUGUGGGGAGGGGAGAAAGCGCCGGUGGGUGGCCAAGCUCGGAGUCUGUCCUGUGUGUUCAUCGUCCCCAGGGUGGCUGGCCUGGGGCGGUCUCUCUCCACGCUGGCACUCGUCCGCUGCCUCCUCCUCUGACUGUGCUUGCAGGAGCUGUGUCCAGUGCAGAAUCAGCAGGGCCCUUCUGACAUGCUCCGGGAAGGCUGCUCAGCCCUGCCCGAGCCCACUGUGCUGGGAUGCCGGAUUCCCUCCAGCCUGCGUACUUCCUGGGAUUCGCCAGAAAGCAGACCUGGGCAGGCAGGGCCAGCCCUGGCACCUCUAGGGGGUGGGGCAGCGGCUAGGUUUUGGGUUCUGGGCGCUGAGAACAAUGGGAAGCGAUUCGAUCGCAGGCCCAAGCCACGGCCUCCACACGCCAGCAGGGCUCUGGGGCUGAGGGACAGACACAGGCCCACUCGGAGAGCAGCCUGUGUACAACUGCAUGGGCCCAGUGACCUUCCCGCCCACGCCAGCCGUGGGCUCUGGCGGUGUCUGUUCCCGGUCCGAGCAGGGACCACGGCCCUCUCAUCCACGCGAAAGAGAUCACUUGCCAAAAAGCAUGUGUUUUGCUAGGGAAAGAUGAGCAGCUUUAGUCUCGCGGGAAGUGCCAUGCACUCCACCGUCGCCCGGUGCCUCUCGGCCUCAGCUCGGGUCUCCUCCGCCUCUGGCCUGCACCAUCCAGCCCUCCACACCUCCCUGGUCCUGCCAGAGUAUUCCCAAAUUCCAGGUAUUCCCAAAUCUCCUGCUUCUUCUCCCUUUCGUAAGUAGAACAAAUGAACUCUGCUCCUGAGUCACUCUGCUAUGGCUCAAAGCUAACCUGGCAAGCAGGACCCUGAGCAGUGACCAGACAGGCAGUGGGGCUGCGUUCACAGGUCGGUCUCUGCUGUCCUCACCUCCUGCCUGCCUCCCACCCUCACCUGCCUGCUAUGAGGCCUGCAGCUUCUGGCCUAGUCCUCCCACGCAGGCCAGGCUGUCCUCCCUCAGGGACGCCUCCCCAUGUCCUGCAGGAGCCACCAAGCGAGACUCCAUCGUCCUCUUCUGCCUCAGCUCCUGUGCAUCCCCAUCUGUGUGGUUGCCUCUCUGCCUAUGCAGCUGGCGAGGAGGGCCAGCCAUGCUUCCAGGAAACUCAGCCAAGAACCUCCCUGCAGACAGAGUUGCCCGGGCCAGGUCCCUGAUGACAGUCCUGAUCCUUGUCAGGAACAUGGAGACCUCGGUGUCCCAAGCCCCCCUGGGUUCAGGACCCGGAGCAGCAGCGGGAGGAGGAGCAGGG
ensembl:lncRNA